UCCGGCCUCCUCCUGCUGGGCCUCAGCCUUGCGCAAGGGGAAGAUGGGAACAGGAUGUGCUUGGAGGUGUCAGGCUGACGCGUUGAGUAAGAGGCUCAGAGCACAGGGUUCCCUCAGGUGGCCUUCAUUCCCCACUCCCGCAGUCUGUCACCCUCCGCCCCCGGAUGGGGCUUGCUGGUCACCCUGGCCUUCCUCAUCGUGGGAGGCCGCUCCCCACUUCGGGGACAGCCUCCCAAACGACUGCCCCCCAAGUCAAGAGGUCCUCUCUGGACAGACGCCGGGAUCGUCACUAGAGUGUUGGUGGCUGGGGGACAAGAGGAAUUCAUGGUCUCCAAAAGGUUCCAACCAGAGUUCAGACCUGGAACUAAGGGAAGUGAAAGCCUUUCAUCUUGGUGGGGGCGAGAUGUUGCAGUCUCUUCACACCCCCCCCCAACCAGCUGUCGCGGUGGGGUCAGCAGUAGUGUCUCCCUUCGCAUCUGUCUAUUAACAGGGUGCUUUGUCACCCUUCUGUCACUUAAGCCCAACUCCUGGUGCAGGACUGCUCUGUCUCAUAAGGGGGACUCAGAGGCCGGCAGAGGGGAAGUGUCCUGAUGCCCAGGGUGUGCUGUUUCCAUUAUGACAGUUCAGCUGACUCAGACCCCCACAGGGUAUUUCUCUUCCCCUUUCCUCCUCCAAAAAGGCAGGCUUGCCAACUCAAAGCCCCUGAGGCCUUUACCCCAGGGUCGCCGGGGAGAGCUGUGGCAGGAGUCCCUACCUUUGCCUCCACUCCCAAGCCUAGCACCUGCUCACGAUGCCCUACUUCCUCUGGGCUGCCAGCCCUGCCCCACUGGGAGGUCCCCCUGCCCAAGGAGGAUUGUUUUUGAGAUGGGAAGCUGUGCCGCAUGUCCCCUCCCUCAGAUGACUCCAGUCCAGAGCAGCCUGGGGGCUAACUUCCCACCCCCACUGUGUGCGCCAGGCCCCACACUGGGGGCAGGAGCACAGCACUAAUGGAGGUGGGCUCCCCUGCUCUGAUGGUGGAGUCCUGGUGGAUGGCGCGUGAUCCAGCUGGCAAGGGGCUGGGGGCAAAGUGAGAAAAAGCUUCCCAAAGGACCCCUGAGCUAUGCCCUAUCAUUGGGACAGAAAUGGACCAGGGACCCAGGGUGGGGCAGACCCAAUUCAGUCUGGAGGUGGGCUCACCUCCUCAUCCCUACCAGCCAAUGGCUCAGAGGGUUUUAAAGUCUAAAAUGAGAGGAAACAACACACAGUCUAUUCCUCCAACCCAUCGUCUUGGGCUCCCCUGUGUGGGAUGAAUCCUGUCCUCUAAAGUCUGUUCGGAGAAGCUCCUGAGGUGUCACAGGGGGUCUGCUGCCCAGCGUAGCCUUGGAGCCCUGUGGCAGUCCCAUCCUCCCCAUCCCAGGGCGGCCUGAGUGUUCCUCCAGUGCCACAGUAGCUGCUCCGGCCUCUGGUUCCUGGGAGCCUCUACUCUUGCUGGAUCCCCAGCCUGUCUCAGUUUUCUACUUCGUGUUGCUGAAGCACAUCCUCUAACAACUCUCCAAGAAAGGAUGACUGCAAGAAGUUUCCAGGCACUUCCAUCGCUGUUGUCUGAAAUCGUAGAUUUUAUUUAUUUAUUUGACAGAGAGACAGCCAGCAAGAGAGGGAACACAAGCUGGGG